ACUUAAGAAGUAGCUUAUUCACCUUCCUCUAUAUAAAUACCCCAACAGGUUCUUCGUUCCAAAACAUAUCCAUUCCAUUACCAAAGUACAAAACAUAAACUCAUUCUCUGUCUCUUUCCUCUCAUCUUAAAUAUCUCUUUCCUAAUUUGUUUCUUUUCCCUCCAAAAGAAAACAAAUAGACUGAAAAAAUGGCAGUAGAUUCCAACCUCUCUUCGCCGUUAGGACCUCCAGCGUGUGAAAAGGACGCAAAAGCCCUCCGCUUCAUCGAGGAAAUGACCCGAAACGCAGACACCGUUCAAGAAAACCUUCUCGCCGAGAUUCUUGCUCGUAACGCAAACACCGAGUACCUACGCCGCUUCAACCUAGACGGCGCCACCGACCGUGAUACCUUUAAAACGAAGAUUCCAGUCAUUAGCUACGAAGAUCUUCAGCCGGAAAUCCAACGCAUUGCUGAUGGAGACCGCUCUCCCAUCUUAUCUGCCCAUCCCAUCUCUGAGUUCCUCACUAGCUCUGGAACCUCAGCCGGAGAGAGGAAGCUCAUGCCGACCAUCAGAGAAGAGCUUGAUCGUCGUCAACUUCUUUACAGUCUCCUCAUGCCUGUCAUGAAUUUGUAUGUGCCAGGUUUAGACAAAGGAAAAGGAUUGUACUUCUUGUUCGUUAAGUCCGAAACAAAGACACCGGGUGGGCUACCGGCUCGACCAGUCUUGACUAGUUACUACAAGAGUGAACACUUCCGGUCUCGACCAUACGACCCAUAUAACGUGUACACAAGUCCCAACGAAGCAAUACUUUGUCCCGACUCAUUUCAAAGCAUGUACACUCAGAUGCUCUGUGGCCUCCUUGACCGCCUCUCUGUCCUCCGCGUUGGCGCAGUCUUUGCCUCUGGUCUACUCCGUGCAAUUCGCUUCCUCCAGCUCCACUGGUCUCGUUUCGCCCAUGACAUCGAUUUUGGAUGUCUCGACUCCGAGAUAACUGACCGGUCUAUAAGACAAUGCAUGUCCGGAAUUCUUAAACCGGAUCCUGCCCUGGCGGAGUUCAUCCGUCAGGAGUGCAAGUCGGAAAAUUGGGAACGAAUCAUCACCAGAAUAUGGCCCAACACUAAGUACAUUGACGUCAUCGUAACUGGAGCCAUGGCUCAGUAUAUUCCAACGUUGGAGUACUAUAGCGGAGGUCUCCCGAUGGCUUGCACCAUGUACGCCUCCUCCGAGUGUUACUUUGGUUUGAACCUUAACCCAAUGAGCAAACCGUCAGAAGUCUCUUACACCAUCAUGCCCAACAUGGCCUACUUCGAGUUCAUCCCUCUCGGGGGCACCAAGGCUGUUGAACUCGUUGAUGUAAAGAUCGGUAAAGAGUAUGAACUUGUUGUUACCACUUACGCGGGUCUUUGUCGAUACCGAGUCGGUGACAUCCUCAGAGUCACAGGUUUCCACAACUCCGCACCUCAGUUUCAUUUCGUGAGGAGGAAAAACGUUCUCCUCAGCAUCGACUCGGACAAGACCGACGAGUCAGAGCUUCAAAAGGCCGUGGAGAACGCAUCGAGGCUGCUUCAUGAAGAGUGCGGGAGCCGCGUAGCCGAGUACACUAGCUACGCCGACACAAGCACGAUCCCCGGCCACUACGUCUUAUACUGGGAGUUGUUAGUGAGGGACGGGUCAAGGCAGCCAAGUCAUGAGACCCUGACUCGUUGCUGCCUUGAGAUGGAAGAGUCGUUAAACUCGGUUUACCGGCAAAGCAGAGUCGCGGACAACUCGGUUGGACCGUUGGAGAUUAGGGUGGUGAGAAACGGAACGUUCGAGGAACUGAUGGAUUACGCAAUCUCAAGAGGCGCAUCAAUUAACCAGUACAAGGUACCAAGGUGCGUUAACUUCACACCUAUUGUGGAGUUACUAGAUUCUAGGGUUGUGUCGGCGCAUUUUAGCCCAGCCUUACCGCAUUGGACGCCGGAGAGGAGGAGAAGAUAAGGACAGGCACAUGUUUUUUCCUUGGAGAUCUCGUGAAGUCAAAGGCUUCAAAUUAAUUAGCACUUUGGUCAUUUAGGACAAGAAAUCCUUACUAGAGAAGUUUUUAUAUUCCCAGGGACCAUGUCUACUUUGAUGGAAAUCAAUAUUGUCAUUCAAUUAGUAAAUUUGUUGGAAGAUUUGCGUUAUGAUGAACUUUGUAACUUCAUAGUUAAUUGAUAUGACUGAGACAUAUAUAGCAAAAUAUUAAUUGAACUUCGCCAAGUUGCCUACUUAGUUGCUGAACAGAGAAGAGAACCAACCAAUCAAUGAUUUUUAGUGCCCUUGUUGAGCUAUUGGCAAGGAAAAAUUAUGAGAGACUGUUGGGUUUCAGGCAAGUGUGCUCA